rnacentral:sRNA from 1 species
UGAAAGACGCGCAUUUGUUAUCAUCAUCCCUGUCUUCAGAGAUGUUUAUUUGGCCACAUAUUCUGUGGCCUUUUC